GAAUAAAUUCGUCUGUGGCUUCGGCCCGGAUGGUAAUUCUAUCCAUAACACCUGUGAACUGUUGGAUGCUUGCAUCCACUUUUAAACUAAACAUUAUUGUAACAAAUGUAGUCUUAUUAUAACAUAAUAAAACUUUUAACAACGGAUCUCUUGGCUCU
rnacentral:misc_RNA from 1 species